rnacentral:rRNA from 1 species
CAGCAGCCGCGGGAAUACGAAGGGGGCUAGCGUUGUUCGGAUUAACUGGGCGUAAAGGGCGCGUAGGCGGGUUUUUAAGUCAGAGGUGAAAUCCCAAGGCUCAACCUUGGAACUGCCUUUGAUACUGGAAGUCUUGAGUCCGGGAGAGGUGAGUGGAACUGCGAGUGUAGAGGUGAAAUUCGUAGAUAUUCGCAAGAACACCAGUGGCGAAGGCGGCUCACUGGCCCGGUACUGACGCUGAGGCGCGAAAGCGUGGGGAGCAAACAGGAUUAGAUACCCCUGUAGUCCCUGUCUCUUAUAC